AAAACGGAAAUGGGCAUUUUUAAAGUUAGAUGGAUUUGGUCACACUGGAUGUGUAUAUUCAGCAAGAUGCAAGUCUGACAGUCCGCCAUGUCUGUGUGAACGUGUGGCAGAAAACAAGCGUAAAAGAAAAAACUCAAAAUGAAAAACAAUACAUACGCAAAAAAUCGAUUAACCGAAAAGAAUUUUUUUUAUAAAUGCAAAUACAUAUCUCACACUCAAAAUAGGCGCAUUAAGAGCAACUAAAUGAAAAUGACGACGGGUGUGUGUAUGUGUGCGUGCGUGUACGUGUGACGUACGCGCGCCACAAAACGGAAUGCGCGAGAAUGGGCAAUGACAGAAAGAAGAGCAGCGCAAAGAGCAAGUGCUGAUAACAUGGCAGCGCUUUGGGCGCGCAUUGCCUAUGCAAACAAAUGAAACGGAAUGAAAUGCUAGCGAAGAGUACACGGCUAAUAGUGGGGGAGAAGGAGAAAGCAAAACAGCACAAGUCUUGUAAAUUGUGGAAUGAAACAAGCCGGCAGCACACACAAACAACAGUAAUAUGUUGACAAAAGAAAAAACUGACGUUUGUCGUUCUUAAAGAGCAAUAUAUUUGUUUGUGUUUUCUAUCA